AGCAAGAGCAUAGGCAACCACCAAGGGAGGUGAAGCAAGAUAGUUUGCUCUUGUCAGGGCAUGAACACGCCCCUCAAAGUUCCGAUUUCCGGAGAGUACAGCAGCAGCAACAAUGUCGUUCUCUGAUAUGGCAGAAGCAACAGAUUCAUCCAAGUCCCCGGAGUUCCCUAUACAAGUGGUGCAGCCAUAGCCAACAAUGUUGAAACCUUGCUGAUUUAAAUACUUCUGUAGACCACUCUUGAGUAAAUAUUUUGUAACAACACCAGAGCCUGGGGCAAGGCUAGUUUUAACCCAUGGCUUAACAUGUAGACCCAGCUCAGAUGCCUUUUUGGCAACCAGAGCUGCUCCUAGCAUAACACUGGGA
rnacentral:misc_RNA from 1 species